GCUUGUCUCAAAGAUUAAGCCAUGCAUGUCUAAGUAUAAACGAUUUUAUACGUGAAACUGCGAAUGGCUCAUUAUAUCAGUUAUAGUUUAUUUGAUGGUCCUUACUACUUGGAUAACCGUAGUAAUUCUAGAGCUAAUACAUGCAUCAAGCCCUGACUUCGGAAGGGGUGUAUUUAUUAGAUGGAAACCAAUGCGGGGCAACCCGGAAAAUGGUGAUUCAUAAUAACUUUCGGAUCGUUUACGAUGCAUCAUUCAAGUUUCUGCCCUAUCAUGCUCUCGAUGGUAGUGUAUUGGACUACCAUGGCUCUCACGGGUAACGGGGAAUUAGGGUUCGAUUCCGGAGAAGGAGCCUGAGAAACGGCUACUACAUCUAAGGAAGGCAGCAGG
rnacentral:rRNA from 1 species